UGAGGAAUAUUGGUCAAUGGGCUUACGCCUGAACCAGCCAAGUCGCGUGAGGGAAGACUGCCCUAUGGGUUGUAAACCUCUUUUGUCAGGGAGCAACAACAUCUACGAGUAGGUGUUACGAGAGUACCUGAAGAAAAAGCAUCGGCUAACUCCGUGCCAGCAGCCGCGGUAAUACGGAGGAUGCGAGCGUUAUCCGGAUUUAUUGGGUUUAAAGGGUGCGUAGGCGGAAUGUCAAGUCAGCGGUCAAAUCGCGGGGCUCAACCUCGCUUCGCCGUUGAAACUGGUGUUCUUGAGUGGGCGAGAAGUAUGCGGAAUGCGUGGUGUAGCGGUGAAA
rnacentral:rRNA from 1 species